rnacentral:tRNA from 1 species
GGAUUGUAGCUCAGUGGUAGAGUGCUUGACUAGCAUGUGUGAGGCACUGGGUUCGAUUCUCAGCACCA